GACGAACGCUGGCGGCGUGCUUAACACAUGCAAGUCGAACGGUAAGGCCCUUCGGGGUACACGAGUGGCGAACGGGUGAGUAACCCGUGGGUGAUCUGCCCUGCACUUCGGGAUAAGCCUGGGAAACUGGGUCUAAUACCGGAUAGGACCACUGCCUGCAUGGGUGGUGGUGGAAAGCUUUUGCGGUGUGGGAUGGGCCCGCGGCCUAUCAGCUUGUUGGUGGGGUGAUGGCCUACCAAGGCGACGACGGGUAGCCGGCCUGAGAGGGUGACCGGCCACACUGGGACUGAGAUACGGCCCAGACUCCUACGGGAGGCAGCAGUGGGGAAUAUUGCACAAUGGGCGCAAGCCUGAUGCAGCGACGCCGCGUGAGGGAUGACGGCCUUCGGGUUGUAAACCCCUUUCAGCACCGACGAAGCGCAAGUGACGGUAGGUGCAGAAGAAGGACCGGCCAACUACGUGCCAGCCGCCGCGGUAA
rnacentral:rRNA from 1 species